CCAAUGUGGCACACUGGUAGUGUGACUGCCUGUGACGCAGAAGGUUCUGGGUUCGAUCCCCGGUGGGA